rnacentral:rRNA from 1 species
AUGGCAGGACCUGACAGCCCGGGAAAGAGCGUUGUGGAUUCAGGGAACAGCGGCUGCGGCGCUCUGGUCGUACCUCAGCGCGUCGUCCGCGACACCGGCGGGGCCUGGCCCAUGCUGACACGCACCAACUAUGCCGAUUGGGCCCUCCUGAUGCAAGUCAUGCUGGAGGCGCGCCAGCUCUGGGUCGCCGUCAACGACGGGACUCCGAAGCGCGAGACGGACCGCACGGUAAUGGAGUGCUUGUUGCGAUCAGUGCUGCCGGAGAUGGUGUCCACGCUCGCCGUGAAGCCCACGGCGAAGGAUGCCUGGGGCACGAUCAAGACAAUGCGGCUGGGUGUAGCACGCGUGUGCGAGGCCAAGGCGACGUCGCUGCGUCGUCAGUAUGAGGCGAUCAAGUUCAACGACGGCGAGAUCAACGAUGAUUUCGGUAUGCGCCUGUCCUCUCUGGUCACUCAACUUGAGUUGCUAGGUGACAAGAUCGGUGAGCCCGCCGUCGUCCGCAAGUUCCUCUCGGUCGUCCCCAAGGCGUACUCGCAGAUGGCAUGCGCGAUCGAGACGCUGGUCGACCUCACCACGCUG